rnacentral:rRNA from 1 species
UUGGCGGCAGGCCUAACACAUGCAAGUCGAGCGGUAGAGAGAAGCUUGCUUCUCUUGAGAGCGGCGGACGGGUGAGUAACGCCUAGGAAUCUGCCUGGUAGUGGGGGAUAACGUCCGGAAACGGACGCUAAUACCGCAUACGUCCUACGGGAGAAAGCAGGGGACCUUCGGGCCUUGCGCCAUCAGAUGAGCCUAGGUCGGAUUAGCUAGUUGGUGAGGUAAUGGCUCACCAAGGCGACGAUCCGUAACUGGUCUGAGAGGAUGAUCAGUCACACUGGAACUGAGACACGGUCCAGACUCCUACGGGAGGCAGCAGUGGGGAAUAUUGGACAAUGGGCGAAAGCCUGAUCCAGCCAUGCCGCGUGUGUGA